rnacentral:lncRNA from 1 species
CAUGGUAGUGGCUGCAGGUCAGUUGUUAUAGCUCUUCUGCAGAAAGUGGUAGGGUUCAAGUCCAUUUCUUAUUCUAGGACUCAGGCUAGCAGAUAAGGAACCAUUGGGGCAUGACUCCUCAGAGCAGAGGACACAGGAGCAAGAAACCAAACUGAACCAAGCAAUCACAUUUAAAUUUUUUUCUUGGAUGACUUAUGCCAUAUUUGCUCAUGUUCCACUGGCCAAAGCAAGUCAAAUGGCCAAACUCAACAUCUAUGGUGUAUGCAAAGAUACUUCACUACGGGCAGAGAGCGCACAGGUCAAGAAGACCUUCAUCUGAUGAAGAUGCUCCUUGCCAAACCAGUACCUUUCUCCAUGGGGCUAGGUGGCUGCAGUCCUAGCCAGGGUCAACUCUUGUUUAUGGAGAAUGGAAAACAGUGGACAGAAGAAGAUUAUCUGCAGAGGUGGAAUGGUGGAUUGCUUCUUCUCUGGGGCCACAUGAGAAGGCAAUUCCUGAGAGAGCAAUCAGACCAGAACAAAGUGCAUUCACCUUCUUGUUAACUGAUCAACAUCUGUUUCCAGAUGUUUCCCUGUGCUGGUUAUAUAGUUUGUGCUCAUUCACAUGCAAAGCCUCUCUCCGUGUAGCUCAGCAGAUGCCAUCAACAGCUCCUCAGUUUGGUAGGGAUAGGCUCUGUCUGCAACAGUCUCAUAACUGCAACCUAGCAAUGCUGGCACCAAAGUCAGAGCUCGGAACUCACUGCAAAAGGCACCCCCUCGGUGCACAGAUGAUGCAGCGGAUCAGUGUCUUUCUCACCAUGGUGACAGCAGUUGACAUGGAAACAGUUGUUCUCGCUUAUAUACAUAAUCAUUGCCCCUCACUCAGGCUUGCCAAAUGUUGAAAAUAUCUGUCUGCCCAGCAUUCAUUUCUUCCAUCUCUAGGAAAUGCACCAAGAUUAUCUUUUGGGAAAUCAUCUGGACUGAACAUCCAAACCAUUUGUUUUGGAUAUUAUUUGUCCAAACUCAGCAUGUGACCAAUACCUGGUAAAACUGAGCCAUAGGAAUGUGUAACCAAGCCAUUCUGAGCCCAUGAGUGUCAGGUCCAGAUUUUGCUAGAACGAUUGGGAAAGUGACAGGGUUUUGCCUGACAUUAUAUGCUGAUGGAAAAGAAGCCUGUGGCGGCUGGAAGCUGUCUGUACCACCAGCUGUGUAGAACAUGCUUGAAAAUAAAGAAAAUUUAGAGGAAAAAAAGAGCUGAGGA